UACAGAGGGUGCGAGCGUUGUCCGGAAUCACUGGGCGUAAAGGGCGCGUAGGUGGCGGGCCAAGUCCAUGGUGAAAGCUCGAUGCUCAACAUCGAGUCGGCCACGGAUACUGGUGCGCUGGAGCACUGUAGAGGCUAAUGGAAUUCCGGGUGUAGCGGUGGAAUGCGUAGAGAUCCGGAAGAACACCGGUGGCGAAGGCGGUUAGCUGGGGCAGUUGCUGACACUGAGGCGCGACGAGCGUGGGGAGCAAACAGG
rnacentral:rRNA from 1 species